GACGAACGCUGGCGGCGUGCUUAACACAUGCAAGUCGAACGGAAAGGCCCUGCUUUUGUGGGGUGCUCGAGUGGCGAACGGGUGAGUAACACGUGAGUAACCUGCCCUUGACUUUGGGAUAACUUCGGGAAACUGGGGCUAAUACCGGAUAGGAGCUCCUGCUGCAUGGUGGGGGGUGGAAAGUUUCGGCGGUUGGGGAUGGACUCGCGGCUUAUCAGCUUGUUGGUGGGGUAGUGGCUUACCAAGGCUUUGACGGGUAGCCGGCCUGAGAGGGUGACCGGCCACAUUGGGACUGAGAUACGGCCCAGACUCCUACGGGAGGCAGCAGUGGGGAAUAUUGCACAAUGGGCGGAAGCCUGAUGCAGCAACGCCGCGUGCGGGAUGACGGCCUUCGGGUUGUAAACCGCUUUCGCCUGUGACGAAGCGUGAGUGACGGUAAUGGGUAAAGAAGCACCGGCUAACUACGUG
rnacentral:rRNA from 1 species